CCCGCCCCGCCGCCGUCCCGCCCGGGAGGUGCCGGUACCUGUGUCCGCUGGCCGCGGUGCCUGCGCGCCGCUGCGCCCCUGCGGCGCGUCCGGCGGAGCGGUGCGGCGCGACUAGCAGCGCCGAGCAGGAGGAAACGGCAUCCUUUGCAGGAGGCAGCUCACAUUUUGUGAGCUCCACGAGGGACCACAAACAGGAGGCUCUGGCUGCAGUAGGGAGUGAAGCAAAACGUUUCUUACCGGCUCAGCCACUUGUUUGGUUGCAGUGAGGAUGUCUAGAUGCAGAUUAGGAACCAGCAGUCACAUCAGUGAAAUGAAAAACCUUGUUUUCAUUGGCUGCUAGAGGGAACAUGAUGUUUCAUGGACUCAGGACCAAGAUGGGGCAUGGACAAAGAGCAGAUUUUGCAGGGAUUGGGAAGAUUUUACAAAUAAAGAUUAAAAUUUAAAAAACUGAAGUUCAUCCAGGCAUGAAGUCCAGCAGAAAUGUAGGAGAGAAAUGGACAGCACUGUCUGUGAAGGAUUGUGUAAGCAAGAAUGGCAAAACCAUGGUCUGAAUAAAUCCAUUGCAGUAAUUAUUUUCUAUACAUGAAUUUCCUAUACAAAGUUACAUGGGGUCAGUCUUUGGGGUUCCCCUGUAUAGCAGAGGAUCCUGAGCCUGAAAAGAGAAGCCGAUUUUGUAAGGGAUUUGCAUAUCAUGGAGUGACUCAGGAUUGCAGAUUUUAAGCAUUACUAAAUCAGGGAAUAAAUUGUUGCUAUUGCUGUUACAUACCAGGAUAUCUCACUAAUCCACGCAAUCCACUAAGUUGCUGUAGUUUUAGUCUGUGUUUAUUUUAGAUGAAAUUAUGGCCUGGACGGUUAAUUUUUCUUAGUUUAUCCAUAUAAAUCAAAUAUAAAUAAGGUAUCAAACAGAAACCAAAACAUGACCUGUGUUUUUAGUACACUCCCCAUCAUGUGAACCUGCCAGUGAUAGAGCUCUGCACCCGGUUUACAAGUCAAACACAAAGGCAAAGAAAAACCACAGGUCUUCUUGAAAAAUAGCCAGUUGGUAUUAAAUUCCCUUGCUUUAAUGCUCUGGCUGGCCUGUUUUGCUUAUAUUUGAGACUGCCUAGCCAUUAUGGGAUUGCCUGCACUGGUCCUUUCCUUACAUCAAACUAAUUACAAAUUAACUUAAGGCACUUAGCAGGGCUGAGAGGCUGGAGGUGGUCCUUUCUGAGUUUGGAAAUGCCUGUUGCUUUACAGUGGCUGAUUCCUAAAGUGAGGGGCAAACACACAGGAACCAAACAGCCUGGAACCAAAGUGGUCACACUGGCUUUUGAAAAAAGUGAGUCUCUCAAGUUAACUGACAGUCAGCUACCUGGAAAUAAAAGCCUCUCAUAUAUCCAAAGGUUUUCACUGGGAUUUUCAAGAUCUCCUGGGCAAUUUAAAAUCCUUGAAAGGAAUGCAGUAUAGAAUGAAAAAUAUAAGUAUUAUUAAAGAAUGUCUCUGAACUGAAAGCCAGCCAGUUUCAUAAAAAUGAGCUAAAAAAGUAAUAACAGGUAGUCUGUCUCCUGCUGGAUGCUAUAUGAACCGUAUGUUUUGUAUUUUGGAAGUCACUCUAAAACAAUGUUUUUUUCUUCACUAUUGCUGUUGGGAAGAACAGUAGAAGAACUAUGUAUAAAUGAGAUUAAAGUAAUCUAAUUAAAAAAAUAAACAAUGUGCUUUCAUCUUCAAUUCAUAUCCAGUCAUUUGGGAUCUAACUUUAAAAAAAGAAGAUAAAAAUUUGGAAAUUCAGAAAGGAUUUUGAAAGACAACUGUUUCCCUUUAAGAUUAAUGAUAAUCAUACUUGUGUGUUCAAGGGAGAAUAGAUCCAGGGUUAUGUAACAGGAUAAAGAAACAAAAUCCUUUUUCCUUAAAUUAAAAUAACCAGUAUGUGUGUGAAUUUUUGUCAUUCACUGAAAAUUCAGGAAACCCAUUUUCUUUCACAACUGCAUUCCACAUGCUAAAAUUGACGUCUUCUAACUUUUAAACAGAAUCACAAUAAUUAAAGACAAAAAAGAUUUGUUUGUUGCAUUUGACCACACUUUUCCAAUAGAGGCAUGUUCCCUAGGGAAAAUUCUGUGGCACUUGCCCUGUGCAGCAAUCCAAAAACGUACUCAUAUUUUUAUUUUAUGUGGCAUUAGCAAAUCUAGUUAUUGCACUUCCCAGUUGUUGUUUGUUUUUUUUCUUUUUAAUCUGAUUACCUAGUACUAGAUAUAUGAUAACUUAUCUCUUUUAAUAAUUUUUUUGCCUGAACUAUUACAUAACAGUUCUUAUAAAAUCUUGCAAUGCCUGCCUAAAUUUACCAAAAACAGGACAAGAACAACAGGUAAUGGAUUUUUUGAUGUUGGCAUUGUUCUUUGCUAGCCUAAUAAUAUAAAAUUUAUUUUAAAAACCACCCAAGAAAAUAAUUUCCUACCAUAGUAUCUCCAUUUUCCACUUCUGUAUUUUACCGAAGCACUCAUAUCAGAAAUUCUGCAUCAGAAUUUGACACAUAAAAUUCCUCUAUCACAUGAGUUCAAUUUUCCAAAAGAAGGCAAAUGGUAGUAUUAAUAACCAAGGUAUAAGCCCUGAAAAGACUGUCACUGAAUGUACUCGCUGAAAAAAAAAAAGAAAGAAAGAAAAAAAGACAUCUUGGUGGAUCUAAUUCUGGAAUCAUUGUUUGACACAAUGCAGAGCAGUUGGGAUUUGCAUGGAAAGGCUUUGCUGAGCUCAGGUGAUGUUCACUCGUGCGUGGGAGAGGCUCGUGUGAGCUUUGCUGAGCCACUCUGAGCUUUGUCUGCAGACCAAAAUAAAUGCUGCAGAUGUUGGCCCAUCCUUGCACAUGUCCACACUCAAUGUGGCAGUCCUGAAAGCAAAGCUCCACAUCUGGGCAGUUUAAGUGAUGUUCCCUCACUGGACCAAGUCCUCUGUCAGCAGUGCUCCAGCAGCACAGGGUGCACUUGGAGAUGAGGCACAGUGUGAAUGUGCCUCUUUCCCUGCCAGUAACACACCUGCCAUGCUGCAGGUAAAUAUUCUGCCUGCACAGAUUUCCUGAGCACAACAGCUCCUGCCAAGUCAAGAUGGUUGCAUGGGAGCAGCAAAGGUGAUAUGGAUUUUGGGAAGCUGUGGGAGAUUGAAACUGGGAGACAGGGAAGAAGUUGUGGCAGACCCACUCUGAAAGCAAUAAAAGUCAACAGAGUGUGAGGCUGCUCUGAAGAACCACUUCCAUUUCCAUUUGGAGCUGAUUAUUGAGCUGGAAAGGGUUGGCGUAACCACAUCCCAGGUGACAGUAGACAUCACUGUGGAAAAUAGUUAAAAAAUGUACUGUGGAGGCAGCUGAGCCCUCAUGACUUACACAAUGGCUCCAGAAAAGCUGAUGGAUUAAACCCACCAAAGAAGAAGAGUGAUCACUUGAGUGAAUUCAUACAUGCUCAUAUUUCUUUCUAUUUGCCUAUGGGUCCCUCUGCUCCCUUCCCUCUCAAAGUGAUGGUGAAACAGUUAUGAGGAGUGUAUAACUGAAAAUUAUACACUCCUUAUAUACUUUGUUUAUUCUGAUAAAUUACAUUGGAAGAUAUAGGCAAACACCAGGAGAAAGUACUGUAAGAAACAAAACCAUUCCCAAAUGCAUGCUUGUACGAGUUCAGACAGAAAGAAUUUCUAGCUAAGUGAAUUAAUGCACUGCAAACAGGGAAAGGGCUUCAAAUGCCUGAGUGUCUAGAAAAAGGAAGAAAUUUAAAAUGAACCCUACAAGCUCUCCAGCAACUGCUCAUCCAGUAUCAUGAUUUUAAUUAACAAAACUGGAAAGCAAGCAUAUCAUAUAAACUUAAAACCACAGCGUUUUCCAGACUACCAGUCCAAAUGCAAAACAAAUUGCUUGCAUCUGGUGGCAGGGAGGCAGAGCAGGGGUGGGAGCUCUGCUCCAGCCUGGCCGAGUGAUGCUGCAGCAUCCGCAGCGCUGCCCUGUCCUGCCUGUCCCAUCCCUGCCCUGCC